UACGGAGGGUGCAAGCGUUGUCCGGAUUUAUUGGGUUUAAAGGGUGCGUAGGUGGCGUGUCAAGUCUGGUGUGAAAGUUAGCUGCUCAACAGUUAGACGUGGUUGGAAACUGGGGUUCUGGAAUGGGGUCGCGGCUGGCGGAACGGGUCAUGUAGCGGUGAAAUGCAUAGAUAUGACCCAGAACACCGAUUGCGAAGGCAGGCAGCUACGACUUGAUUGACACUGAGGCACGAGAGCAUGGGUAGCGAACAGG
rnacentral:rRNA from 1 species